rfam:Clostridium sp. CAG:127 genomic scaffold, scf154
UAUGUUUGCAACUUAGAAGGACUUGUGUUCUUUCAGAACUAGGAGCAAUGCUUGAACACGAUGUUCAAGCAAGCUGCCUCUGAGACAUGGAUGUCGAAUAGGCAGCGGUUGCGUAUGUGGCUAUGAAUCGAAUAAGAACACAUAGUCCUUGUUAGUUGCAAUACAU